rnacentral:rRNA from 1 species
CGCGGCCUAUCAGCUUGUUGGUGAGGCAAUGUCUCACCAAGGCGACGACGGGUAGCCGGCCUGAGAGGGCGACCGGCCACACUGGGACUGAGACACGGCCCAGACUCCUACGGGAGGCAGCAGUGGGGAAUAUUGCACAAUGGGCGAAAGCCUGAUGCAGCGACGCCGCGUGAGGGAUGACGGCCUUCGGGUUGUAAACCUCUUUCAGCUCCGAAGAAGCGAGAGUGACGGUAGGAGCAGAAGAAGCACCGGCUAACUACGUGCCAGCAGCCGCGGUAAUACGUAGGGUGCAAGCGUUGUCCGGAAUUAUUGGGCGUAAAGAGCUCGUAGGCGGUCUGUCGCGUCUGGUGUGAAAUCCCAUGGCUCAACUGUGGGCUUGCAUCGGGUACGGGCAGACUAGAGUGCUGUAGGGGAGACUGGAAUUCCUGGUGUAGCGGUGGAAUGCGCAGAUAUCAGGAGGAACACCGAUGGCGAAGGCAGGUCUCUGGGCAGUUACUGACGCUGAGGAGCGAAAGCAUGGGGAGCGAACAGGAUUAGAUACCCUGGUAGUCCAUGCCGUAAACGUUGGGCACUAGGUGUGGGGCCAGUUCCACUGGUUCUGUGCCGCAGCUAACGCAUUAAGUGCCCCGCCUGGGGAGUACGG